rnacentral:misc_RNA from 1 species
GAUGAAGAACGUAGCGAAAUGCGAUAAGUAAUGCGAAUUGCAGAAUUUCCGUGAGUCAUCGAAUCUUUGAACGCACAUUGCGCCCACUGGUAUUCCGGUGGGCAUGCCUGUUCGAGCGUCAUUAUCCUCCCUCAAACCCCGGGUUUGGUGUUGGACCCAAGUUGUGUGAACAACUGGUCUCAAAGACAAUGACGGCGUCCGUGGGACCCUCGGUGCAACGAGCUUUUAGGAGCACGCGCCGAGUUGCAAGGACCUUCCGGGCCGGUCUCCUUUACUAUUUUACAAGGUUGACCUCGGAUCAGGUAGGAAUACCCGCUGAACUUAAGCAUAUCAAAAGCGGAGGA